rnacentral:piRNA from 1 species
UAAAAGUAUAGGACUGAUUUA